rnacentral:lncRNA from 1 species
GGCUGCACUGAGCAGUGGAGGCACGUGCGCAGUUGCGACUAGGAAGUGUGUCCUGGGACCCAAGGGAUCCUUGGGGCGGAAAUGCUUCUGGGCGGAAACCUGCCUGGCACGCGCCAAGGGUCCAUUGGAGACCGAGUUUCGCGCACCGCCCCCUGGCGGUUUGGAGGACGCAUUGUGAACGUGUUCGCCUUGUAGUGGCGCGCGGUAGGACGACAAAUGCAGUUUGACUUUUCCAGACUGAACAAAAACGGCUGAUUGGAAGACAGAAUUCCUCGUGGCUCAGAUUCUGUUCCCCUUCACUGCUAGAGCGGUUCCACUACUCUCCGGAAGCCUGGUGGUCUUCGGUUCACAGCUGCAGGAAGCACAGGCAGCAGGGGUGGGUGAGCAGAGGGGCACAGACGAAGAUGGAAGACUCACAGCUAUGGAGGGGAACUGAGGACACGGAGGACAGCCACGUGGAAGAACUGUGGACACGGUGGACACCCCAGAGCAAGAGGAGUAGUGAAGGAAUAUGAGAAUCAAAGAAGCUGGACUGAUGGAUGAUAACAGUCAAGGUGGGUCACUGCCAACAGGCAGGAGUGAGGAUGUGAGGCGGGAUAGUUGAUUUGUGCAGAUUCCAUGAUACGGCUAAAUGGAGCCCUGGGACAAAAGCAUGGACGCAUUCACCUGCUUACUCAGCAGCCUCAGAACUAGAACUAGACCUUAGAACUAGAACUAGCACACUGCCAGCACAGUGCUGGGUACUGGGCAAGAACAAGAACAUGACAGAUGGCUGCUUCUCUCCAUCUUCUCUUUCUCAUCUUCCACAAGUAAAAUGAUGCCCACUUUGUUAUUCGCGGAUGCUUUGGAGCUGAUGAUUUGUUUUCUAGCUUCCCAGCAUGAAUGGCCUUUGAAGGGCAGGGCCAAGUAUGCUAAUACAGCCAUGUAGGGAUUUCAGUUCUAUGUUCUGGUAAUGCCAGAGGUCCUGGUGUCAAACGCACCAAGGUCUUUAUCCUGUUUUCUUAGUCAAGUGAUAAAAUGACAGUUGGGAAGUACUGCUAGCUACACCACAGUGGGUGGUCAUCUGAACUUUCUCACUAGUAACUUUAGUUUUAUGCUGAAUUCAUUUGAAACCUAGUUAUUCAACUUGAAUGGAUAAUUUUCAAAUGUCAGUAAUAGCAGAAAAGACCUUUUAUUCUUGUGAACUAGAAGGGAAGGAACAAUACAAAAUGUUCCUGUUAAAAUUUCUUUUUUCCUUCAUGAGUGGAUGUGUGUGAAUGCGUGUGCAUGUGCACACAUGGGGGCCAGAGGACAAUCUUUUGUUUUGUUCUGAAGAGCCAUCUGCCAUGUGUUGUGAGAUGGGGCUCACCAAUUAGACCUGCUGACUUGAGCUCCAGUGAGAUCCACCUGUCCUCACCUCCC